rnacentral:lncRNA from 1 species
CUUAAAUGAGUAGAGUAUAGAAAAGGAAGGAAAAGAAGAAGAAACAUAAGAGAAAACAGCAGAAAAGCAGAGAAUACAAAUUAUGUGCAUGUGACGACCGUCACAAAGCUUGUCACGACCGUCACGCCCAGCCUGUCACGACCGUCAUAGGCCCAUCACGACCGUCACAGACCCAUCACGACCGUCACAGGGCCAAAAUCAGCGCAUUGAAUCCGUCAACAGAAGUGAUCCACACGACCCUUA